AAAAUUAUAAUGAAGCUCAAACCAGAACCCGUGCUGUAUUGUAGGCAUCUUUAAGAAGAAUUACCAGAGACUAGAAAGAUUUUCUUUUCUGCAAAGACCGAAGGCACUUUCAAUGCCAUGUCACCAGGCUCUUACCACAGAGCUGUUUUAUUUUGGAUGGUGUUAUUUAAGCCACGCUACAGCCAAAGAAGUGCAGCUUAAAAGAAAGCGUGAUUAUAAGGGGCUUUGUAAGUACAUCUUAAUAGACUCCCCCGUAAUAGCUUCCUUUAUCUUGGCUCUCAGCGCUCACGAACAUUUUCUAACGGAGGGGACCGACUGCACAAAUGCAGGGCGGGCCACGGGCUCCAGCUUGAGGUUGGCAAUAUGAACACGUCGCAGUGUGAAUGAUCCAAGUUUUAUAAACGAAGAAAAAACAAAGAAGAUGCCAGAUUCCUCCAUUUAGCUCCAUUCCUGAAAAAAAAAAAAAAAAAAAUUCUGCCUCUCACUGUCACACAAGUGGAGAUCAACAGUCACAUUUGGGGUUGAAUUUGGGAAUGGGGGGCGGGGUGGAAGCUUAUCACUGGCCAGAAUUUGAAAAUGCUUUCAGUGCCCUUCUUUUCUAGGUCUAAAAUGGCCAAGGAACACUUCCAUGAUGUAUUUUGAGGGGCUUCGUUCCUCAAAGUACCAUUUAUAUAUUAUAUCCCUUUGAUAACAACAAUGUCACCCCUCUCUUAAGUGCUUCCUAUGUGCAAAUACAGUGCCAACGGCUUUUCCAACUCCAACUGGGCUGGCGGAAGGGGAAAGAGUGGUUAUUUAUCCCAUUGUAUAGAUGAGGAAAAUAAAGGCUAGACAAUUUAAGUGACUUGCAGCUGGUACGAGCCAUAGCUAGUUUUAGCUGGGUUCAAAUCUAGGCCUGUUUGACUCCAAGUACCCUCUCUUCUAGGCUACUUUGCUCCCUCCCUCAGAGACCUAUUUGGCUGGCCCAUCAACUGUGUUCCCUGAGCCAGGCCUACUUCUUGGUCCCGAGGACCUGUGAUGCCCAGGGCAGCACAGCUCACCAGCCAGCUGGCCGCUGUUGUCACCUGGGAGGCUCACAAUCCCGCCCCCUGGAUGGUGACGGUCAGCGCCGUGCUGGCCAGCUUUGCCAGAGCCGCCAGAGUAGUCACAGCUGCGUAGCAGGCCCCCAGAGAAGGAGGGCAAAGGCACUUGGAAUUCAAGGACAGACUUCCUCAGCCCACGUGGUACCUACAGCGACUGAUCUCACAGCCCAAGGAUGAGCUAACCGAACACAAAAACCGUUGAGAGAAAGAGGUUCAAGUCCAACAAUUCAGACUGAAUUGGGGAUAUUUGUGACAGCCGGACACACUAUUCUUGCGUCAAUGAGACAACACGUCACCCACGUUGCAUACAGAGGACACUCGACCAACGGUGGCUCACACUACGAGUACUGGAAUUUAUUCUGUUCUGCUCCCUAAUGUCUAGCACAACCAGAACCAUCUUUAAAAGUAACUGGUUUAUUAACAUAUAUUACCAAACUUGAAAGUGAAACAAAAGGUAGUUUUCAUGGGUGGGUAAAAAGUUUCUAUUUCACUGGGCUAAAGAGAUCAUGGGCAGGAAGACAAGAAAUCUAGUUCCUUUGGGCCACCAUUUGUCUAUCUGUUAAACAGCCUCGUGACAAAUAUAGUAUGGGAUAAGUUUUAGUUUUCAUUUCAUUUAAAAUCAAUUCUGUUACCUAGUUAAAAACAAACAAACA